rnacentral:rRNA from 1 species
UACAUGGGGUGCAAACGUUGCUCGGAAUUAUUGGGCGUAAAGCGCACGUAGGCGGUUUGUUAAGUCGGAUGUGAAAUCCCUCGGCUCAACUGAGGAAGUGCAUCCGAAACUGGCAGGCUUGAGUACUAAAGAGGGUCGCGGAAUUCCCGGUGUAGAGGUGAAAUUCGUAGAUAUCGGGAGGAACACCGGUGGCGAAGGCGGCGAUCUGGGUAGAUACUGACGCUGAGGUGCGAAAGCGUGGGGAGCAAACAGG